AGAUUUGCCUUUGGUGGUUCAGCUGAGUGGUACUGGUUGUUUUGGAGGUUAUGGGAAUAGCCUCCCUCCUGCCCUUUAUCACAGCUUUCUUACUAAUGAUCAUUUGCAG
rnacentral:miRNA from 1 species